rnacentral:rRNA from 1 species
GGGGGGGGGGGGGGGGGGGGGGGGGGGGGGGGGGGGGGGGGGGGGCGCGGGGGCGGGCGCCGGGGGGCGAGUGGCGGCCGGGGGGGUGAUACAUGGGGGCGUGGCCUGGAGGGGGGGAUAGCCCGGGGAGGGCCGGGUUAAGACCGCAUACGAUCUACGGAUGGCAGGGGGGGAGCUUCGGGCCUCGCGCUCUAAGGCUGUGCGAUGGCUGAUGACCUAGUUGGUGGGGUAAAGGCCUACCAAGGCGACGAUCAGUAGCUGGUCUGAGAGGACGACCAGCCACACUGGGACUGAGACACGGCCCAGACUCCUACGGGAGGCAGCAGUGGGGAAUUUUGGACAAUGGGCGAAAGCCUGAUCCAGCAAUGCCGCGUGUGUGAAGAAGGCCUUCGGGUUGUAAAGCACUUUUGUCCGGAAAGAAAUCCUUGGCCCUAAUACGGUCGGGGGAUGACGGUACCGGAAGAAUAAGCACCGGCUAACUACGUG